rnacentral:rRNA from 1 species
AUUGAACGCUGGCGGCAGGCCUAACACAUGCAAGUCGAACGGUAACAGGAAGCAGCUUGCUGCUUCGCUGACGAGUGGCGGACGGGUGAGUAAUGUCUGGGAAGCUGCCUGAUGGAGGGGGAUAACUACUGGAAACGGUAGCUAAUACCGCAUAAUGUCGCAAGACCAAAGAGGGGGACCUUCGGGCCUCUUGCCAUCGGAUGUGCCCAGAUGGGAUUAGCUUGUUGGUGGGGUAACGGCUCACCAAGGCGAGGAUCCCUAGCUGGUCUGAGAGGAUGACCAGCCACACUGGGACUGAGACACGGUCCAGACUCCUACGGGAGGCAGCAGUGGGGAAUAUUGCACAAUGGGCGCAAGCCUGAUGCAGCCAUGCCGCGUGUAUGAAGAAGGCCUUCGGGUUGUAAAGUACUUUCAGCGGGGAGGAAGGGAGUAAAGUUAAUACCUUUGCUCAUUGACGUUACCCGCAGAAGAAGCACCGGCUAACUCCGUG